rnacentral:rRNA from 1 species
UACGGAGGGGGCGAGCGUUAUUCGGAAUUAUUGGGCGUAAAGGGCGCGUAGGCGGCCCUGCAAGUCAAAGGUGAAAUCCCUCGGCUCAACUGAGGAACUGCCUUUGAAACUGCGGGGCUUGAGGCCGGGAGGGGGUAGCGGAAUUCCCAGUGUAGCGGUGAAAUUCGUAGAUAUUGGGAAGAACACCGGUGGCGAAGGCGGCUAUCUGGCCCGUAAUUGACGCUGAGGCGCGAAAGCGUGGGGAGCAAACAGG